ACCUCAUAAAAUACUCCCCAAUAUCCUUUUAUUGCAAAAAAUAUUUAGUGAGAUGAUGAUACUAUGAAUUUAUUUAUGCUUUAUGGUAAUAUUUUAUGCAUUGUGAUAACAUUUUCAUGUAUAUGAAAAAUAAAUGAAAUGCAUUGGAAGCAUGUUACUUAAGUGGUAUGUAAUACCUCGUUUGUACAUAAAAGGAAGAAUCACUUUACAAUAAAUCCAUAACUAUCCCCAAUUCUUCCAUUUUCCAAAUCUGGGAAUAACUGAUCUACCUACAUUGGCCAGACCUGAGUUUGACUUUUUGUAAGGGGUAAAAGGUUUCACAGUUUUAAAAUACUAUGUAGCUCAGGUCACUUAAGAGCUUGGCAAAUGUAAAUGCAACAGCCAAACCUGAAUGAAAUGGAUCGUUCAUCUAAAAAGAAGUGGAUCCUCUGUGAUUUACCCAAGAGUCAGAAUUGCUCCAGUGACAAAUCAUAGUUCAUGUGUUGUGCUCUGAGCCACCCAAGUAGAUAAUAUUUCCCUGUAGAAAUUUGUGUAAGUAACCCCUCAGUGUCUACUGAGAUAAAAGUAGGAACUGAUAGUUACAAGCAUACAUGGUAAAUAGUUAACAGAAUCUAUAAUUCAUCAUUUUUAAUCCUCUCUUUACUGUAAGACCGUCUAUUCCUAAAAAAGAAUGCCUUAGAAUUCUGGCGACUGGCUGUUUCAAACAGCCAGGACUGAAACCUGCCGGAGAAAACACAGACAAUUCCACAUGCUCCAUGGCAUAGAAUUUUCCUCAAAAUGCAAGCUCUUUGGGAAUGGCCAGGCCUUUUUCCCUAGAAUUGCGUUUAACCAUUCUGGCUUUGCCCCAGCAUACUGUUGGUUAUCGAUAAAGCUUUUAUCAUCCAAAGCUGCCAAAUAAAAUGUACCAAGAUACUGAAUGUAUCAUGCUCCUCAUUCUUCAAGUGAAAAACCAAGGUUGUAGUGCAUCUGAGCCUGGGAACAUUUCAGAAUGUUAAAACAGGUGGAGUAAAGCUACUUUGUGCUUAGUAUGCACAGGAAACUGCUUAUUUUCCUGAGUUUGUUGCUGGGGCGGAAUUAACCCAUUAGAAACUAAAUAUGCAAAUCAGAUGCAAAUUAACACACCAUACCAUUCCCUACAAGUUCAGCAAAGCUUGGCCUUUUCUUCCCAACAGUGUUCCAAUGAACAGGCUAUCUGGACACCUGCCAUGUGCAUGGAACACAAUAUAGAAAGACCUUCCCUUGUUUACUGAAUUAAAUGCCCCUAGUUAUUUGCCUUUGACGUUCAACAAGCUUUGUGCCCUUAUCAGCUAAAAUAAUCUGAGCUGGGUGGUACUUAAAAGUAAUUUUAAAAUACUGUCAACUAGUCAAAAGCUACAUAAUAGUGACCAGGGCUCAAAGAAAUGGCUGUAGUAGCAAUUUGAAACAAAAUAGUCCCGGGGGGAAACUAACAGAUCUUGGUCCAUUUAUCCCAGACAAUAAAUCAUGACCUAGACAAAUUGAGGUAUAUUGAGACUUGAUUGCUUAAUGGAUAAUCCAUUGACCUUUUAAUCUCUUGGAUCCUUUUCUGUAUUCAUCUUUUUGUGCCAGGCAGCACAUCACAGAGCAGGCAAAAUUGUUUUAGCCAAAUGUGAGAUUGUAAAAGAGAGUAUUAGGAGCUCAGCAGCUAUUUUUUUCCCUCCCCAUUGGUAUUUCUUCACUCCUCCCGAUAACCUUGAAAACCCACAGGUAUGGUGAAAGAGAAUUCUAGAACACAGACUCAACAGCCCUGUUCGAGCCCAGUGUGUUACUAAUUAGGUAUAGACUGGGUCAUUCCAAGCAAUCAGUUGACAUUAGCAACCUGACUACAGGUAGUCAAUAUAAUUUCUUUCUCUGCUUAAAGAAGCAGAGUAGCUUGAUAACAUCAAUGAUACCAAAUUGAAGGCUGAUUUUAGGGGAAAAAAGGAAGCAGCCCUUUGGAGUAUUGGUAACAAGGAGCAGGGGAGAAACUUAAAAGUCUAAUGCUCUGAACUUGAUAAAAUAUAGCUUAAAAUAAGAAAUUCCAAAUAGUAGGUUAGUAAAAAGUGGCUUGAUUUUUUAAAAGGUUGGCUCCUGUAUGUUUGUUUCUUUAUCCAAACUAUUUUCACCUUACACAGGAACACAGUCUUAUUGCCAACACUCCUGCAUAGCUCAGUCAUCUGGGUGAAAACAUAACUAAAUACUACAUACAGAGUAAUCAAUCAAUCAGUCAAUCUAGGAAAAUGAGCAAGUCUCACCCAGCAGGCUCCCACCCUAGGGAAAGUAACACACUAUUGUUUUUACUCUAUCAAACUCUAUCCAAAUCAGUAAACCAAUCAGUUACUCCAUUCUACCACCAGUGUGGGUAGAUUAAAUACUAAUUGCAUUGUUUAGUCAACCAUUCCAAACAUCAAGUGGCAUCAAGACCCACCACAUUAUAUAAGGCCCCAUCUGUUCUGUUGAAUUGAAUUAGAAAUCCAAAAAAAAAAAAAAAAAAAAAAGGAAAAUGAAUUCAGCAAACCCAAAGAUUAAUACAAAUCA